rnacentral:rRNA from 1 species
CCUACGGGUGGCAGCAGUGGGGAAUAUUGCGCAAUGGGGGAAACCCUGACGCAGCAACGCCGCGUGAGUGAUGAAGGUUUUCGGAUCGUAAAGCUCUGUCGUUAGGGACGAUAAUGACGGUACCUAAUGAGGAAGCCACGGCUAACUACGUGCCAGCAGCCGCGGUAAUACGUAGGUGGCAAGCGUUGUCCGGAAUUACUGGGCGUAAAGAGUAUGUAGGCGGAUAUUUAAGUCAGAUGUGAAAUCCCCGGGCUUAACCUGGGAGCUGCAUUUGAAACUGGAUAUCUAGAGUGCAGGAGAGGAAAGUGGAAUUCCUAGUGUAGCGGUGAAAUGCGUAGAGAUUAGGAAGAACACCAGUGGCGAAGGCGACUUUCUGGACUGUAACUGACGCUGAGAUACGAAAGCGUGGGUAGCAAACAGGAUUAGAUACCCGUGUAGUC